rnacentral:rRNA from 1 species
GACGAAGGGGGGCUAGCGUUGUUCGGAAUUACUGGGCGUAAAGCGCGUGUAGGCGGUUGUUCAAGUCAGGUGUGAAAGCCUUGAGCUCAACUCAAGAAAUGGCACUUGAUACUGGAUGACUAGAGGACCGGAGAGGAUAGUGGAAUUCCCAGUGUAGUGGUGAAAUACGUAGAGAUUGGGAAGAACACCAGUGGCGAAGGCGGCUAUCUGGACGGUUUCUGACGCUAAGACGCGAAAGCGUGGGGAGCAACAGG